AGAUCAGCAAAGGGGACAUGCUCCAAGGUAAGGAACUGAUCUAGGGCCUAGGAAAAAAGAAGUUUAAAUCAAAAUUUGACUGCUCAGCUAUGAAGUAAGGCUGUGGAACAAAGGGUCAAAUGCAGCUUUGACCCUUCAUUCCCCUCCACCCUCCAAGAGAUCAGAUCCCGUCAGCACUGAGCCUAUUUCCCGUAAGAAGCAAGGAGCAGAAUUGUGCUUGAUAAGAAGCAGUGUGGACAACUCUAAAGGACACUGGAAGGGAAGAGGAAGGAAGUACAUUGGUUCUUCAGGAGGCGGGGGAUGCGGUGGACAGGAGAAGUAGCAGUGACAUGGUACCCUCUUGACUCUUGCAAACAAAAUCUACCCUGGUUACCACAAAUGCUUUUCUCCAUGCCUUUGCUUUUGAAAGUAUUAGCUACAAGGAUGAGUCUGGGAUCCAAAGUGGACACUGUGGUGAAAAGCAUGGCUACUUCUGGAAAGAACUCAGAUGAAGAGAAGGAGGGCCCAUCCUAACUCAGAGUACCUCAUCACAAAUUGGAUUGCAGAGAACUCAAAUGAAGAGGACAAGCAAACUCAGGAAUGUGGAGCACCCAUCAUCUGCCAUGGUCAAGGAGAUAAUCUGUGGAGAGAGAGAGAAAACAGAUGGAGAGAGCUGCACACGCAGAGAUCCACGAGGCUCCUGAGAAUAAACAAGAAUCUCUUGGCUUCUCAAGAGCCUUCCAGACUUUCCUCCUUAUGUUUGGGAGUUUUCCUGACUGCCCUCCUUGACCUUGGUCAGCAAGGACACUUAUAA
rnacentral:lncRNA from 1 species